UACGUAGGGUCCGAGCGUUGUCCGGAAUUAUUGGGCGUAAAGGGCUCGUAGGUGGCCAACUAAGUCGGACGUGGAAUCCCUCAGCUUAACUGGGGAACUGCGUCCGAUACUGGAUGGCUUGAGUUUGGGAGAGGGAUGCGGAAUUCCAGGUGUAGCGGUGAAAUGCGUAGAUAUCUGGAGGAACACCGGUGGCGAAGGCGGCAUCCUGGACCAACACUGACACUGAGGAGCGAAAGCCAGGGGAGCAAACGGG
rnacentral:rRNA from 1 species